AAUAGUACAUGUCUACCAUUUUUUGUUGAGACAAUAUUUUAGAUAUCUUGAUACAUAAAUACACAUAAAAUUUCAAUUUUUAUUACAAUUUUAUCCUUAAAUGUUUUUAAAAUUUAUCCUAUCUCUGUCUUUCUCAUACUCUUCUCCAUCUCAUUUCUUUCUAUUGCUUUUGCUUGUCCUACUCUCAGCCACCUUCACCUCCUCUUUUCUCUCACUUACAUUUGCCUAUUCUGUGCCGCCCCUACUUCUGCAUAGGCUCUCCACCUUUGCUUCUGCCACUGCUAACUUCCUCUCAUGCUCCCUCAAAAUCUGCUGCUGCCUCUACUUUGUGAUGCUUCUUCCCGAGAUCCGCUGCCACCUUUGCUUCGUAUGCAUUUGCCUUAGAUUCAGUGCUGCCUUUGCUUUGCAACUUCUUUUCCCCAAAUCCGUCAUCUCUUGUGCUUCGUGAUGUGUUUGCCCCAAAUCUUCUUCUGCUUUGCGAUGCGUCCACCUCAAAUUUGCCACCUCCUUUGCUUUGUGACACUGUCUACCUCAAAUCAACUGGCUCUUCUGCUAUGCAAAGUUAUCCGCCUCUACUUCUUUGUGAAGAGUUGAUGAUGAUAAUGAUGAUGAUGACAACGAUGAUGAUGUAAUGGCGGCAGUGGUAAUGGUGGUGGUGGAGGAAGGGAGUGAUGAUUUUAACUUAGAGGUAAAAUUGGCAUUUAAGAGAAGUCUAAUGUU